rnacentral:rRNA from 1 species
UACGUAGGGUGCGAGCGUUAAUCGGAAUUACUGGGCGUAAAGCGCACGUAGGUGGCGACGUAAGUCGGGUGUGAAAGCCCCGGGCUCAACCUGGGAAUUGCAUUCGAGACUGCAUUGCUGGAGUACGGAAGAGGAAGGCGGAAUUCCCGGUGUAGCGGUGAAAUGCGUAGAUAUCGGGAGGAACAUCAGUGGCGAAGGCGGCCUUCUGGGCCAAUACUGACGCUCAUGCACGAAAGCGUGGGGAGCAAACAGG